UACGGAGGAUGCGAGCGUUAUCCGGAUUUACUGGGCGUAAAGGGAGCGUAGGCGGACUUUUAAGUGAGAUGUGAAAUACUCGGGCUCAACUUGAGUGCUGCAUUUCAAACUGGAAGUCUAGAGUGCAGGAGAGGAGAAUGGAAUUCCCAGUGUAGCGGUGAAAUGCGUAGAGAUUAGGAAGAACACCAGUGGCGAAGGCGAUUCUCUGGACUGUAACUGACGCUGAGGCUCGAAAGCGUGGGGAGCAAACAGG
rnacentral:rRNA from 1 species